AAUUUAUAUUAUAGGUAUGACACAAUAAUACAGAAGUGUUGGAUAAACUACUUCUUAUUGUUUUUGUUUACUUUCGCUUGCUACAUAAUGUCAAAUUCAAAUGCGUUGCCAGUACGUAGGUCACCUACAAAGUUCCUAUAUUAGGACCUAAAUUAUUUCGGGUAUAAUAAUGUUACUGACAUUUAUGGUAUUUGAACCAUGAUACCACUUAAACUGUUACUAAAGUUACAGAAAGGGUAGUGAUAUAUCUGAUGAAAGAAAGCUGUCAGCAAUACCUAUAUCAACACCAAAUGCUGAUAAUGGAUGUAUUAAAUUUAUAAAAUUUUCCAUCUAUCAUGAUAAACAAGGACAACAGCUGUCUUGGUGGACAGACCAGCUUCCGCUCAUAGUUUAGAGAUACGUGCUUACACGCAGGACCGGAUUAGGAAUGUAUAAAAAAUUGAAAAAUUGGUAUAAAGUUAUUUAGGUAGAACUUCAACUUCUUUGAAAAAUGCUAAAAUAUGAUUUUACGAUAUUUUAUCCAAAAAAUACAAAUAAUACCAGUCGCAGUGUAAAAAAGACGAAAGUGACAAAUGAGGAAAUAAAGGCACAUCAUUUUAAUCCAAUUUUUAAUAAUAAAAAAAACCUGCAGUUAAUUUUGAAAAUUUUGUUUUGUUAUAAGUUAUAACCUUAGCAAGAGGAAACCUUGACUAAUCUUUUUCAUAACGCGUAAUAUUAAGCCCAGCCCUGCCUACACAUUAUAUCGUCACAGUCUAUAGCCAACAGAAAAACAUUUAAUGGGAUAAUAACACCAAAAUCGAUGUCCUGGUGUGAAAUUCUUGAAACGCACACACACAACAUGAAAUUACGAAAAAAUUAUAGAGACGGUGUGCACUAAGCCGUUGCAAACUAAUCUAUAAAAAUUACAACGAAACAUAUUACUAUUCAUAGUCAUGAAUAAGCUACUAUUCUGCAGUUUAGUGGUAUUAACCACGCUGUUGUUCUUUGCGGAAGCUCAGCAACAGCCUCCGCCGCCAGGACAACCUCAGGGCGGUCCAACGCUGGGAAGACCCGUUGCAUUCCAAAAAGGAAUUAAAACUUCUGCUGAUGCUGUAGGAUUCGGCGGAGGAGGAGGCGGUCGUGGCCACGGUCCUCAUGGAUAAAAGUGAAGUUGAAAAUGUAGAAUUUCCUUAAAUGUCACACGGUUUCAGUUGGCAAUAAAUGGAUUUUAGUUUCUA